CAGGCCAAUGGAGGAUUUCUCUUGCCAUCUCUCUCUCUCUUUCCCUGAAUGCAGGGGGACUCUAGAAGAGUCCCUGGGUCGCCCCACUUCCACAGCAAACCUAUAGUUGUAAUUCUUUCAGUCCCUUCUAGAUAAGAUGUUUUAGAGCCAAUCUAGAGCCACACCUGUUUCUCUUGGGAUCAGGAAUGUCUAACUGGAGUGAAGACAGUGGGCUAGUCAGCUAUGCCUACCCUACCCCGACUUCCUCAAAUGCUUUGGGCCUCCGUGCUUGAAUCCCAGGUAGACAUUGAGCAUGUGUUGAAUGUCUCUUGACUCUGCUUCCUCACAGUAGUUAGUUCCGGCCUCAGGCAAGAUGGCGGCAGCAGGCUCUGCUCCCUGUCAAGGGAACUGGUCAUCCUACAUUGCAUUUUUAAUGUUAAUCUUUUAGAAGCUAUGGAGGUUACUUUUUUAGUGAAGAGGAAUGCCUUCAACUGUCCUUAUCCUAGGAGAGCGUGUUUAGUCAUAGAUGCGGGUUGAGUCCUACAGAACAAGGCUAGUGAGAGGUCCUCGUUAGCAUGCUUGGUCGUCACAGGGUUGGCCAGGAAGCUUCGACAGUUGAACCGUGGCAAGCGAGAGUUUCCAACGCACGGUGGACAGCGCACUACCACAAGCUUUCUAACAGAUGUAGUUUCCUGAAAUAAAUAUUCAAGGUCUGAAGGUUACAGUCUUCGAACUUCAAAAUAAACAUUCAAAUAAUCCAGGAAAACUUCCUUUGUCUUAGUAAACAGGCUUAUAUUUCACCCAAGUGUUAUGGAAACACACAGAUAAAAUAUCCACUUCCCUUGUCUGUCUAAACAAAAGCAUGUUGGUAAUCCCAUGCACUGUUCUCUCAGAGCUUCCAUUCCCAGAGCUCAGCUUCUGGUGGUCUCAUGGUUCCUGUGGCUUCCUGUCUCAAUGUGAUCGUAUCCAAGGCAGGAUUUGAGCCAGGACCCCAAAACCUGAGUCCACUCUGACCACAAAGCACGGAGCUCAGAGUCUUCUUGGAGAAAUGCUUGAAGAGAAAACAAUCAUCCUACACACUGAGUCCCUAUGCUGUGCAGACUUGUCUCCAGUCCUCAAGAGCUUCUGUUCUGGCCGGGAAGCUCCCUCCCUAAGUAAACCCAUGAAUAGAUAUGAAUUUUAGAUCAUGAGAGAAGUACAGUAAUUGCUUCUGGCA